UUCUGGCGGAGCUGAAGACAGCAUCGGUCCGGUCCGGGACCCAACGGUCUGCUGCUGCCCGGCCGACAUAGCUGACCAACAGGAGGCCAGAAAGCCUGGAGGAUAUUUUUCUUUAAUGGAUGAGGGAAGGGACCGUUCCCUCCAGAGGAGUUGCUUGGAUGGACAAGACGGAGACAUAAAGGUGAUUGGAGGGAUUAGAGAAAGAGAGCUUCUGAUUGGAGAAAGAGAUUCUGACCUCCCACCUUCAGUAACAAGGAUUCAUCCUGUUGUUGUAUUUUGAACUAGCAGGGAAUCUCUGUUACUGGGGGUGAGGGUACAGAGAGCUCACACAAACACAUUCCGUCACACACACGAAGACGCACACACAGACACACACGUUUGUUAUUUUACUGCUUACAUUUCUCCUGUACUGUGCUAUGUAUGUACUGUAUCUAAUUUCAUUAAAGAUGUGAGAAGAUGUUCUUGA